AUUGAACGCUGGCGGCAGGCCUAACACAUGCAAGUCGAACGAGUGGCGGACGGGUGAGUCAUGUCUGGGAAACUGCCUGAUGGAGGGGGAUAACUACUGGAAACGGUAGCUAAUACCGCAUACCCUCAGAUGUGCCCAGAUGGGAUUAGCUUGUUGGUGUGGUAACGGCUCACCAAGGCGACGAUCCCUAGCUGGUCUGAGAGGAUGACCAGCAACACUGGAACUGAGACACGGUACAGAGUCCUACGGGAGGCAGCAGUGGGGAAGAUGGCACAAUGGGCGCAAGCCGGAUGCAGCCAUGCAGCGUGGAGGAAGAAGGCCUUCGGGUUGUAAAGUACUUUCAGCGGGGAGGCUUUACCCGCAGAAGAAGCACCGGCUAACUCCGUGCCAGCAGCCGCGGUAAUUC
rnacentral:rRNA from 1 species